AUCGAACGCUGGCGGCAGGCCUAACACAUGCAAGUCGAGCGGAUGACGGGAGCUUGCUCCUUGAUUCAGCGGCGGACGGGUGAGUAAUGCCUAGGAAUCUGCCUGGUAGUGGGGGACAACGUUUCGAAAGGAACGCUAAUACCGCAUACGUCCUACGGGAGAAAGCAGGGGACCUUCGGGCCUUGCGCUAUCAGAUGAGCCUAGGUCGGAUUAGCUAGUAGGGGAGGUAUUGGCUCACCUAGGCGACGAUCCGUAACUGGUCUGAGAGGAUGAUCAGUCACCAUGUAAAUGAGACACGGUCCAGAUCGCUACGUGAGGCAGCAGUGGGGAAUUUUGGACAAUGAGCAAAGGCCUGAUCCAGCCAUGCUGCGUGUGUGAAGAAGGUCUUCGGAUUGUAAAGCACUUUAAGUUGGGAGGAAGGUCAGUAAGUUAAUACCUUGCUGUUUUGACGUUACCGACAGAAUAAGCACCGGCUAACUACGUGCCAGCAGCCGCCGUAA
rnacentral:rRNA from 1 species